GCAAGGGGGCGGUAGGUGUGACAACCAGCUAACCGUAAACGGAGUGCUACCACUUUGCCUGGGCAAAGAGCUUGAAAGACACCUAGUUCAUUGCUAUUCUUUGAAAAACUCAAAAUGCAGUGUUCUUCGUGGCUGAAUAGGUGUCUUGUGAUCCCUUGGUAAUGUCGACUCAUUCAUUCGACAAGUAUUUCUCUCUUCUGUAUUCCUGGCAUUGUGCUGAGUCCUGUCUAAUGAAGAGGAAGAAGGGGAAAACAAACGGUUUGAUCCAGGGUCCCAGCCAGAUAACCUAGGAGGCUAGAGGGAAAACAUUUUUUCUUUCCCUGCAUUAGAUUCAGCAGUUUUCCUGGGAUCGGAACAAGAUGUGCAGGAGGAACCUGAAACAACAGAUCAAUCUGAUCCUUCUCAGUACCUUGAAUUUGCUAUGAGUUAUUCACUUAAUUUAAACAUGAAUCACUAGUCAUCAGAGAAAUGCGAACUAAAUCAUUCACAAGUAUAUCCCCCUUCACGCCCUUCAGGCUGACAAAGAAAUCAGAAAUUUGGAUCCUGACAAGGGUUGGAAGAGGUGUGGCAAAAGAGGAAUAGACUAUCCUCCACUGCUGGUGAACUUCUAAAUGGGUACAGCCAUUCUGGAGAGCAAUCUGGCAUAAUAUAGUCUAAUAAAGAAAACACAUAUUCUAUGAUCCAGCAAUUCCAAAGACAUUGUCACACGGGUCUCUAUGAGAAGAGCUGCAAAGAUGUUCCCUGCAUCACAGCCCAGAGCAUAAGGGGGUUGAAGUCUGUCUGGGUGCUCAUGCCUGGGAGAGUGGACAGGUAAAAUGUGGUGCACAUGCUGGAGUCUAUCUAAUGCUCUGUGAGUAGCUUCAGGUUAGAUGUAGGCAAAAUUGGAAGGGUGACUCAAAUACAUAAUGCUGGGUAGGGAAAUGUAAACACUGGAAGGAGAUAUAUAAUACAAUACUCUUUCCAUAAGUUAAAAAUGUGCACACAUAAAACAAUGUAUUUUACAAUAAUACAUUCAAAUAAAAAGAUAGGCCACUCAAAUAAUGUUGGCAAUUAGCCCUGUGCCUACAGUCUCCUUGUCACGAGCGUCUGCUAGGCUCACAGACCGUGCUGCAAUCUCUUCCUGCAAAUCAGAGGGACUAACCCCAGGAGAGACUCUCAGACCCCCAGGAUCUACCUGGCACUGAGUGAGGCCUCAGCGGUAGCUGUGGCUUCUAGCAAGAAUUAAGGCAAACCCACACGUCUAGUGCCUUUCAAUAUGCUCAUUUAUUCACACAGAAAAUGCAGUGGGAGGAAUAGGCUCCUGAACAUCAAUAUCACACCACAAUAUAAUCACAGCAAUAUGGCCAUUAAUAUAGCAAUAAUAAUUUAGUGAAGUAUUUUGAUAACAAACCAGUCCAAGAGUCAAUCAGAAUCUGGCGCGCAGGGCAGCUGGUCGGGGAGGUCAUUCCGUCAGAGGUUUGCUCUGAGUCCGACGGAGCAAGCAGGUUUUUGGAGCAGAGGAGCAGCAUGGUCACCUCUCAGUCGAGACUGGCUGCCUGAGCUAUCGAUAUCCUGGGUUCUUAAUGACAUCAGUGGAGCCGUAUGAUGUCACCUUAUCAGUCCUCACAGACUUGUUUCCUAUCAGUCCAUGCAGCUGCUGCACGGUCCAUCUGGUGGUGGUUUAUCUUCAUGGGGAAUUUCCACAGCACUCAGUGUUAAGACAGAGGUUACUCUUGUUCAUACAAAAUGGAGUCACUCUUGCUCAUAUAAAAACACACUUUUCAGGGGUGCUCUGCACACUUCUUUUCCCAUGCUUCAUAAAAGGUCAGGAUUUAUAUAUAGAGAAAAGAUUUUUUAAAAUAUGCGUCAGCACGGCUGUAGGAGAGAUCCCUGCCUUAGGUGGCAGAUGACCAAAAGCGGGAUAAACCAAUAAGAUAGCAGAGGUUGCAAGAUUAGACCCACAUUCUGGCCCACACCUAGUUUCUUUACCAUUUUAGGUUUCUUUACCAUUUACCAUUUUAAUACCCAGGGAUGGUUUCUCCACAACAGAAUUUAAACCUGGGUUCUCUGAAAUUGAAAAUGGUUGGUUUUGCUCUAAACUGAGACUGAACCAUUGAUACCACAAUGGCUCCUUGGUGUGCCCCCACCUUUUCUACCAGCCCAGCUAUGUACACGAUUUCCUUAAAGAAAAUGUACUCUUUGGUCACCGCACAACCUCAGUUUUUGCAUCAUUCUGACAAUGGCUCCUGGCAUUUCCUCACAGACCUUCCUGCCUAAUGUUAAAAUGGACUAAGCCAGGUUCCAUACCAAAAGGUCUUGGUUUUGUCUUUUGGCGUCAUUUACAGCUGAUUGUUCUUGGUUAAGUCAUUUAACUUCUCACAGCUUCCGUUUUCCCACAUAAAAUAGGGAUGAUAAUAAAAUGUGUCAGCUGUCUUUUCUAAGUGUUUUCUAUGCAACUAGAAACAUACACAUUAAAGUUAGAAUUAUAUCCUAUUUAUUAUGCGUAUUUUCUGUUAAUUUUGUCUUUAUUCAACAUAUAUAUAAUGGAUAGCUUUCAAUGUCAAUAUAUAUAGAUUAAUAGCUAAUAGCUGUUGUGCAUGUGUGGGGGCAGGGGACAUACUGGAAAUCUCUGUACCUUCCACUCAAUUUUGUGGUAC